CAUAACAAACCAGCUUCAGUUGAGCCUCUGCCCAGAACCAGAGCAUAUGAAGAAGGAUAGGACCUGAAGGAGGUAUGGAGAUGGAGUACUGAGGUGCGAUGUCAUAACUACUUCCUCUCUGCUACUUUUCCUCUCAAUCUCCCUUUAUUGUGCCAGCUUCCUUGAUCCACAGCACAUGGAUAAUCACAAAACUUCAUCAUGCCAGGACUGAAAUGACCUUAGGCAAGUGUUAAAGAACAUGACUGCCGCCAGAGAAUUCUGGACCGGAUAUAUUGAAAUGUAUGAGGCCAACAAUUUCCUAUGGCGUAUAAAAAGCAAGGACUACACCAACCAGUUCAAGAAAAAUGCAGCCUUAGAAAAACUCGCCCAGUACAGUAAAGACCAUGACAGUGAUGUCUACAUCACAUGAGUAAAAAAGAAGAUUCAAAAUUUGCGAACCGUCUUUUUGAAAGAACAUAAAAAAAUAUAAAGAUUCAGGAGCGGGGGCCGAUGAAGUACGUUAACCAUUGUUGUGGUACUACGACAUGCUCCAGUUUACCCUUAAUUAAGAACCUGAGAGAGACUCCCUGAGUUCUACUAAUUCCAACUCUCCUGUGCUGGAGGCAGCAGUGGAAGAAACGGAGAGUCAGGAUCAGGAUGAUACUCUGGAUCUGGACACCAUCCCGAGCCAACAGCACGAAGUGGAAGGUGCUGAAAUGCUUGCCCAACCUGAGCUGAUACCUCUGCCACACCCCAAGAAGGCGAAGGUUUCGGAGAAGGCAUCCAGUAUAGCCAAGUCCAGAUCCAAACAAUUUUUAAAACAUGCGGAGGAGAUUCUGCAAAUGCCCCUGGAUAAAUUUGACCAUUUUGGCUCAGGUUUGGCUAGUGAGAUGCGUGACCUGGGCCAAGCUCAAUUUGCCUGUGUCAAGUCUGAGAUACAUGACGUUAUGUGGCUUGCCUUUCAUGGCAGAUUGGUUGAGGGAUGCUACAUAGCGUUCCCAUCAAGGCAACAUCCCACAACAUCGGGCCCCACCACUGUCCCCAUCCCACCUCACCCACCCACCCACAUAUUCUGCUCCGGUUCCUCAUCCGAUUCCCAACACAUAUGCGGCGAGCCCCAGCUAUAAUCACCCACCCUCCUAGCCCAGCAAUUCCAGCAGUGGAAUGUACUCAUAUAUGAGUACACAAUCCACUCACCAUGGUGAGCCCAGUUUUUACAAUAUGUAAUUUUUUUAAAAUCUUUUUUUGAUAAUGUUUUAAAAAUAGUUUGGGAGUUUUUCUCAGGGUCUUGAUCAAGAGUAUUUUGGAAUUGAUUGUUGGUACCAUAACGACGGUUGAAUGUAUUAAUUGCCCCUGUGAAUGAACGUUGUAAAUUGUUUAUAUUUCUUAUGUUCCUGAAAAAAGACUGUUCUAAAAUUCUGUUCUUCUUUUUUACCAAAUGAUGUUGGCAUUACUAUUUAUGGCCUUUACUGUACUGGACUAGUUGCUGCAUUGACCGGUUGGUGUAAACCCUGACACAGAGGCAAUUGUUGGCCUCAUUAGAGCAAUAAAUCUUGUUCAGAAUUCUAUUUUCUUAACAAUUUUUUUAAUAAAAAAGUUACUCAAA